rnacentral:rRNA from 1 species
GACGAACGCUGGCGGCGUGCUUAACACAUGCAAGUCGAACGGAAAGGCCCUGCUUUUGUGGGGUGCUCGAGUGGCGAACGGGUGAGUAACACGUGAGUAACCUGCCCUUGACUUUGGGAUAACUUCAGGAAACUGGGGCUAAUACCGGAUAGGAGCUCCUGCUGCAUGGUGGGGGUUGGAAAGUUUCGGCGGUUGGGGAUGGACUCGCGGCUUAUCAGCUUGUUGGUGGGGUAGUGGCUUACCAAGGCUUUGACGGGUAGCCGGCCUGAGAGGGUGACCGGCCACAUUGGGACUGAGAUACGGCCCAGACGCCUACGGGAGGCAGCAGUGGGGAAUAUUGCACAAUGGGCGGAAGCCUGAUGCAGCAACGCCGCGUGCGGGAUGACGGCCUUCGGGUUGUAAACCGCUUUCGCCUGUGACGAAGCGUGAGCGACGGUAAUGGGUAAAGAAGCACCGGCUAACUACGU